rnacentral:rRNA from 1 species
GAGAGUUUGAUCCUGGCUCAGGAUGAACGCUAGCUACAGGCUUAACACAUGCAAGUCGAGGGGCAGCAUGGUCUUAGCUUGCUAAGGCCGAUGGCGACCGGCGCACGGGUGAGUAACACGUAUCCAACCUGCCGUCUACUCUUGGACAGCCUUCUGAAAGGAAGAUUAAUACAAGAUGGCAUCAUGAGUCCGCAUGUUCACAUGAUUAAAGGUAUUCCGGUAGACGAUGGGGAUGCGUUCCAUUAGAUAGUAGGCGGGGUAACGGCCCACCUAGUCUUCGAUGGAUAGGGGUUCUGAGAGGAAGGUCCCCCACAUUGGAACUGAGACACGGUCCAAACUCCUACGGGAGGCAGCAGUGAGGAAUAUUGGUCAAUGGGCGAGAGCCUGAACCAGCCAAGUAGCGUGAAGGAUGACUGCCCUAUGGGUUGUAAACUUCUUUUAUAAAGGAAUAAAGUCGGGUAUGGAUACCCGUUUGCAUGUACUUUAUGAAUAAGGAUCGGCUAACUCCGUGCCAGCAGCCGCGGUAAUACGGAGGAUCCGAGCGUUAUCCGGAUUUAUUGGGUUUAAAGGGAGCGUAGAUGGAUGUUUAAGUCAGUUGUGAAAGUUUGCGGCUCAACCGUAAAAUUGCAGUUGAUACUGGAUAUCUUGAGUGCAGUUGAGGCAGGCGGAAUUCGUGGUGUAGCGGUGAAAUGCUUAGAUAUCACGAAGAACUCCGAUUGCGAAGGCAGCCUGCUAAGCUGCAACUGACAUUGAGGCUCGAAAGUGUGGGUAUCAAACAGGAUUAGAUACCCUGGUAGUCCACACGGUAAACGAUGAAUACUCGCUGUUUGCGAUAUACUGCAAGCGGCCAAGCGAAAGCGUUAAGUAUUCCACCUGGGGAGUACGCCGGCAACGGUGAAACUCAAAGGAAUUGACGGGGGCCCGCACAAGCGGAGGAACAUGUGGUUUAAUUCGAUGAUACGCGAGGAACCUUACCCGGGCUUAAAUUGCAGAUGAAUUACGGUGAAAGCCGUAAGCCGCAAGGCAUCUGUGAAGGUGCUGCAUGGUUGUCGUCAGCUCGUGCCGUGAGGUGUCGGCUUAAGUGCCAUAACGAGCGCAACCCUUGUUGUCAGUUACUAACAGGUUCUGCUGAGGACUCUGACAAGACUGCCAUCGUAAGAUGUGAGGAAGGUGGGGAUGACGUCAAAUCAGCACGGCCCUUACGUCCGGGGCUACACACGUGUUACAAUGGGGGGUACAGAGGGCCGCUACCACGCGAGUGGAUGCCAAUCCCAAAAACCUCUCUCAGUUCGGACUGGAGUCUGCAACCCGACUCCACGAAGCUGGAUUCGCUAGUAAUCGCGCAUCAGCCACGGCGCGGUGAAUACGUUCCCGGGCCUUGUACACACCGCCCGUCAAGCCAUGGGAGCCGGGGGUACCUGAAGUGCGUAACCGCGAGGAGCGCCCUAGGGUAAAACUGGUGACUGGGGCUAAGUCGUAACAAGGUAGCCG